GUCUACAGCCAUGCCACCCUGAACACGCCCAAUCUCCUGUAAUCUUGGAAGUUAAGCAGGGUUCAGCCUGGUAGUACUUGGAUAGGACACCAUCUAGGAAUACCAGGUGCUGUAGGCU
rnacentral:rRNA from 1 species